rnacentral:rRNA from 1 species
UACGUAGGGGGCAAGCGUUGUCCGGAUUUAUUGGGCGUAAAGAGCGUGUAGGCGGCCAUACAGGUCAGCUGUGAAAACUCGAGGCUCAACCUCGAGACGUCGGUUGAAACCGUAUGGCUAGAGUCCGGAAGAGGAGAGUGGAAUUCCCGGUGUAGCGGUGAAAUGCGCAGAUAUCGGGAAGAACACCUAUGGCGAAGGCGGUUACCUGGGGUUGUUCUGACGCUGAGGAGCGAAAGCUAGGGGAGCAAACGGG